rnacentral:rRNA from 1 species
UAAGGAAUAUUGGACAAUGCCCGCAAGGGUGAUCCAGCCAUGCCGCGUGCAGGAAGAAGGCCCUAUGGGUCGUAAACUGCUUUUACACCGGAGAAAACCCCGCUACGUGUAGCGGGCUGAUAGUAUGGUGAGAAUAAGCAUCGGCUAACUUCGUGCCAGCAGCCGCGGUAAGACGAAGGAUGCAAGCGUUAUCCGGAUUCAUUGGGUUUAAAGGGAGCGUAGGUGGCCUUAUAAGUCAGUGGUGAAAUCUUCGAGCUCAACUCGGAAAUUGCCAUUGAUACUGUAGGGCUUGAGUACAGUUGCUGUGGGCGGAAUAUGACAUGUAGUGGUGAAAUACAUAGAGAUGUCAUAGAACACCGAUUGCGAAGGCAGCUCACAAAGCUGUAACUGACACUGAGGCUCGAAAGUGCGGGGAUCAAACAG